rnacentral:rRNA from 1 species
GACGAACGCUGGCGGCGUGCUUAACACAUGCCAGUCGAACGGAAAGGCCCUGCUUUUUUGGGGUGCUCGAGUGGCACACGGGUGAGUAACACGUGAGUAACCUUCCCUUUACUUUGUGAUAACUUCAGGCAACUGGUGCUACUACCUGAUAGGAGCUCCUGCUGCAUGGUGGGGUUUGGACCGUUUCGGCGGUUGUGGAUGGACGCGCGGCUUAUCAGCUUGUUGGUGGAGGAGUGGCUUACCAAGGCUUUGACGGGUAGGCGGCAGGAGAGGUUGACCGGGGACAAGGGGACUGAGAGACGGCGCAGACGCGUACGGGAGGCAGCAGGGGAAAAUAUGGCACAAUGGGGGGAAGCCUGAGGAAGAAACGCCGGGAGUGGGAUGAAGGCUUUCGGGGGGGAAACCGCAGUAGGCUGAGACGAAGCGGGAGUGACGGUAAUGGGUAAAGAAGCACCGGCUAACUACGUG